UGUGAAUUGCAGAAUCCCGUGAACCAUCGAGUCUUUGAACGCAAGUUGCGCCCGAAGCCGUUAGGCCGAGGGCACGCCUGCCUGGGCGU
rnacentral:rRNA from 1 species